rnacentral:lncRNA from 1 species
AACAACUUAAAUGUAGAAUGGUGAUGAUAACAAUGUUUAUUUUUCAUUUUAUUUGGGGGUUAAAGCUUUUGAGCAGUGAUUCGGGUAUCAUUAGAUCUUAAUGUAAAGAUGAUAUAUUGAUUUACGAUUAGCAUUAGCUUGAAACAUCUUCCUGGAUUGGAGAAUAAACAAAUUGUUUCCUGUUUAUAGACUUUAUAUCAUAUAUAUAGUACUAUAGGAGUGAAAGGUGUUCUUUUAAAAAGUUCA